rnacentral:rRNA from 1 species
UGAGGAAUAUUGGACAAUGGGGGCAACCCUGAUCCAGCAAUGCCGCGUGAAUGAGGAAGGCCUUCGGGUUGUAAAGUUCUUUUAUUAAAGACGAUAAUGACGGUAUUUAAUGAAUAAGCACCGGCUAACUUCGUGCCAGCAGCCGCGGUAAUACGAAGGGUGCUAGCGUUGUUCGGAAUUACUGGGCGUAAAGGGCGCGUAGACGGUUAGAUAAGUUAGAUGUGAAAGCCCUGGGCUCAACCUAGGAUGUGCAUUUAAUACUGUUUAGCUAGAGUACAAGAGGGGAAAAUGGAAUUGCGUGUGUAGAGGUGAAAUUCGUAGAUAUACGCAGGAACACCGGUGGCGAAGGCGAUUUUCUGGCUUGAUACUGACGUUAAGGCGCGAAAGCGUGGGGAGCAAA